rnacentral:rRNA from 1 species
AUACAUGCAAGUCGAACGCUUUGUCUUUAAUUGAUCUGACGAGCUUGCUCUGAUGUGAUUUUAUCUGACAAAGAGUGGCGAACGGGUGAGUAACACGUGGGUAACCUACCUCUUAGCAGGGGAUAACAUUUGGAAACAAGUGCUAAUACCGUAUAAUACCAACAACCGCAUGGUUGUUGGUUGAAAGAUGGUUCUGCUAUCACUAAGAGAUGGACCCGCGGUGCAUUAGCUAGUUGGUAAGGUAACGGCUUACCAAGGCAAUGAUGCAUAGCCGAGUUGAGAGACUGAUCGGCCACAAUGGGACUGAGACACGGCCCAUACUCCUACGGGAGGCAGCAGUAGGGAAUCUUCCACAAUGGGCGCAAGCCUGAUGGAGCAACGCCGCGUGUGUGAUGAAGGGUUUCGGCUCGUAAAACACUGUUAUAAGAGAAGAACGGCACUGAGAGUAACUGUUCAGUGUGUGACGGUAUCUUACCAGAAAGGAACGGCUAAAUACGUGCCAGCAGCCGCGGUAAUACGUAUGUUCCAAGCGUUAUCCGGAUUUAUUGGGCGUAAAGCGAGCGCAGACGGUUAUUUAAGUCUGAAGUGAAAGCCCUCAGCUCAACUGAGGAAUGGCUUUGGAAACUGGAUGACUUGAGUGCAGUAGAGGAAAGUGGAACUCCAUGUGUAGCGGUGAAAUGCGUAGAUAUAUGGAAGAACACCAGUGGCGAAGGCGGCUUUCUGGACUGUAACUGACGUUGAG